rnacentral:rRNA from 1 species
CCUACGGGUGGCAGCAGUGGGGAAUAUUGCACAAUGGGGGAAACCCUGAUGCAGCGAAGCCGCGUGAGUGAAGAAGUAAUUCGUUAUGUACAGCUCUAUCAGCAGGGCAGCAAAUGACGGUACCUGAGUCAGAAGCCCUGGCUAACUACGUGCCAGCAGCCGCUGUAAUACGUAGGGGGCAAGCGUGAUCCGGAUUUACUGGGUGUAAAGGGAGCUUAUACGGGAGUGCAAGUCGGGGGUAAAAGGCGGGGUCUCAACCCCGGACUGCUCUGGAAAAUGUACGGCUUGAGUGGAGGAGAGGUAAGUGGAAUUCCUAGUGUAGCGGUGAAAUGCGUAGAUAUUAGGAGGAACACCAGUGGCGAAGGCAGCUUACUGGACUGUAACUGACGUUGAGGCUCGAAAGCGUGGGGAGCAAACAGGAUUAGAUACCCUGGUAGUC